rnacentral:rRNA from 1 species
UACGUAGGGUGCGAGCGUUAAUCGGAAUUACUGGGCGUAAAGCGUGCGCAGGCGGUUUUGUAAGCCAGAUGUGAAAUCCCCGGGCUCAACCUGGGAAUGGCAUUUGGGACUGCAAGGCUGGAGUUUGGCAGAGGAGACUGGAAUUCCUGGUGUAGCAGUGAAAUGCGUAGAUAUCAGGAGGAACACCGAUGGCGAAGGCAGGUCUCUGGGCUGAAACUGACGCUCAAGCACGAAAGCGUGGAGAGCAAACAGG